rnacentral:misc_RNA from 1 species
CCUCUUUACCCUCCAAGAUGUAUCUGUUAGAAAAGAACGAAAAAAGUAAAAUGUAAUUAGUAAUGCUCAUUUAACAAUGAGUUUGCAUUUGGAUACCCAGGGGAUUAAAAUCAAAGAAUUUAAGAGUUUAGGUUCCUUAAAUGAGAUUUAUGAUGCAUAAUUUUUCUUGAUUGGGUAGAUUCACUGGAGGAAGAAUUGUUCAGUAUAAAGUUCUAAAAAGGUAUAAUUUCAAAUACAUUCUUGGAUUUGAUCGAAACAAUGUUUUUCCCCACCUUUACAAAUCCAAAUCUUUGUUUAUAUAAAUUGGCGCAAAACCAAAUUCUCUGACCAAAAUAAACUCUCAUUAAAAACAAAACUUUCCAAAGGACCAAGUGUAUCAUGAGAUUUUGAGACUUGACUAUCUUGGCCAACCAUUAUAAUUAUUGCAGCUUUGUUGUAACAUUAUAAAGGUCCCUUUUUUAAUCAUCGUAAAUAUGCAAAGGGAACAAAAAGCAUAGAGAUGCAAGAACAAGAGAGAUCUGAUAGAUGAUACAAAUUCAACAUAUUAGUUUGCCAUAUCAGGACAAUGAAACCACGCCCAAAUAAUUAAUAGCAACUAAAUGAAAGAAAAGAUGAGAAAAUACAUACCCAUCAGUACGGCCACACUGACCAGGGCGGGA